CGGUGUUCAACUGGCGUGUCCGCGGGACGUCCUGCCGGUGGGCUUAGCCCGCAAGGGCGGCCCAACUUCAAAUCCCAUCGCGGUGCUCUUCACUAAGUGUCGAGGUGGGCCGGCACGUUUACUUUGAACAAAUUAGAGUGCUUAAAGCAGGCUAAAACUUCGCCUGAAUACUGUGUGCAUGGAAUAAUGGAAUAGGACCUCGGUUCUAUUUUGUUGGUUUUCGGAACCCCGAGGUAAUGAUUAAUAGGAACGGAUGGGGGCAUUCGUAUUGCGACGUUAGAGGUGAAAUUCUUGGAUCGUCGCAAGACGGACAGAAGCGAAAGCAUUUGCCAAAAACGCUUUCAUUGAUCAAGAACGAAAGUUAGAGGUUCGAAGGCGAUCAGAUACCGCCCUAGUUCUAACCAUAAACGAUGCCAGCUAGCGAUCCGUCGACGUUCCUCCGAUGACUCGACGGGCAGCUUCCGGGAAACCAAAGCUUUUGGGUUCCGGGGGAAGUAUGGUUGCAAAGCUGAAACUUAAAGGAAUUGACGGAAGGGCACCACCAGGAGUGGAGCCUGCGGCUUAAUUUGACUCAACACGGGAAACCUCACCAGGCCCGGACACCGGAAGGAUUGACAGAUUGAGAGCUCUUUCUUGAUUCGGUGGGUGGUGGUGCAUGGCCGUUCUUAGUUGGUGGAGCGAUUUGUCUGGUUAAUUCCGAUAACGAACGAGACUCUAGCCUGCUAACUAGGCGUAUUUUCGACAUCUCAAAGGUCCGUCGUCCCGGCCCUCGGGUCGUGGGCGUGCGCGAUUUUUACUGUCGGCGUACUAUCAAUUCUUCUUAGAGGGACAGGUGGCUUCUAGCCGCACGAGAUUGAGCAAUAACAGGUCUGUGAUG
rnacentral:rRNA from 1 species